rnacentral:misc_RNA from 1 species
CCAAUGCCACUUGCAAGUCGCAAUAUAAGUGAUAUUGCAUUUUAUUUAAGGAGGUUAGAAUAAAAUUUCUUGGUUUGAUCUUUGUUGCCCAAACUCCAGCAAAUGUAAACAUAAAUGACGGUACUGUGAAAUGAAUCAGCUAAUCUGACUUGUAUGGCAAACCGAAAAACUAUUUCAGCUUCUUGACAAAGUCAGAGAGCUGUAGAAGG